CAACCAGUGACUGACAGCUCCUCCCCCCUUUUUCUGUUUCUGUACCUGUGGUUAUGUAUUAGAAUCAGAUUCUAAUAAGCUCAACAGUAUAAUGUGACAUCCUACUUGUCUGCUGCAAUAACCACAAACAUAUGGCGAGGAUUGGGUCCUGCUUAAGAAGAAAGCAGGUUGAGAGAAAGGAAGACAGGACAGACCAAACUUGGCACCAAAUAUCACAUGCUAACCAUAAAGAAUCAGUCACAACUAAAAAAAGGCAUCGAGGGAAAAGUAAUAACACAGUGGGUCCAAGCAGCAGUUUACAGUAGCGAGACAUAUCACGGAUGUGAAGUCAGCCCCAUU